CCCCUAGAUGUUCUGGGCCGCACGCGCGCUACACUGAUGCAUGCAACGAGUUCUAUCCUUGGCCGGAAGGCCUGGGUAAUCUGUGAACGUGCAUCGUGAUAGGGAUAGAUUAUUGCAAUUAUUAAUCUUGAACGAGGAAUUCCUAGUAAACGCAAGUCAUCAGCUUGCAUUGAUUACGUCCCUGCCCUUUGUACACACCGCCCGUCGCACCUACCGAUCGAAGGUAAUGAUGAGCCCUCAGGAUUGUGGCCUCGUCGCGUCAGCGUCUUGGCUGCGAGAAUCUGUGCAAAUCCCUACCUUUAGAGGAAGGUGAAGUCGUAACA
rnacentral:rRNA from 1 species